ACGCUCGACACCUACGGGAGGCAGCAGGUGGGGAAUAUUGCACAAUGGGGGAAACCCUGAUGCAGCGACGCCGCGUGAGUGAAGAAGUAUUUCGGUAUGUAAAGCUCUAUCAGCAGGGAAGAGAAUGACGGUACCUGACUAAGAAGCCCCGGCUAACUACGCGCCAGCACGCCGGACGGUAAUCUGGAGGCGGGCUGGACGAAGGC
rnacentral:rRNA from 1 species